rnacentral:rRNA from 1 species
CGAACGAGAAUCACUGGAAGGAGUUUUCGGACAACGGAAGGUGAGGACAGUGGCGGACGGGUGAGUAACGCGUGAGGAACCUGCCUUUCAGAGGGGGACAACAGUUGGAAACGACUGCUAAUACCGCAUGACACAUAGAGAUCGCAUGGUUUUUAUGUCAAAGAUUUAUCGCUGAAAGAUGGCCUCGCGUCUGAUUAGCUAGUUGGUGAGGUAACGGCCCACCAAGGCGACGAUCAGUAGCCGGACUGAGAGGUUGACCGGCCACAUUGGGACUGAGAUACGGCCCAGACUCCUACGGGAGGCAGCAGUGGGGAAUAUUGGGCAAUGGGCGCAAGCCUGACCCAGCAACGCCGCGUGAAGGAAGAAGGCUUUCGGGUUGUAAACUUCUUUUGUCGGGGACGAGUAGAAGACGGUACCUGGCGAAUAAGCCACGGCUAACUACGUGCCAGCAGCCGCGGUAAUACGUAGGUGGCAAGCGUUGUCCGGAUUUACUGGGUGUAAAGGGCGUGCAGCCGGGAAUGCAAGUCAGAUGUGAAAUCCAUGGGCUUAACCCAUGAACUGCAUUUGAAACUGUAUUUCUUGAGUACUGGAGAGGCAAUCGGAAUUCCUAGUGUAGCGGUGAAAUGCGUAGAUAUUAGGAGGAACACCAGUGGCGAAGGCGGAUUGCUGGACAGCAACUGACGGUGAGGCGCGAAAUGUGGGGAGCAAACAGG